rnacentral:lncRNA from 1 species
UUAGAAGAUCCACGAGCCUUUAUAUCAGGUACGUCGAUGAUAUCCUGGUGAUAUGGGAAGAAGAAGGAAUAACAAAAGAACUAGAAGCCCUAACAAUACCAGCAUAUGGAUUAACGCUAACCACAAUGCAACUCAGCAAAUCCAAAAUAGGAUAUCUAGAUAUCGAAAUAACCAUCAACAUCAUCAUCUUAGCAACAGCGGUCCACAGAAAACCACUCUACCAACCGGUCAUCAUACCAAACUGGUCCCCAGACACACCAUCAUUCAAAAAGACCGCAUUUAGAGCAUUUUUCAGCAGAG